AUACCUGAUGUUGCCAUGUGAUUUCUGAAAUCAGUUCUUGAACUGAUUUAUUCCCAGGCCUGCUCCUCCUUGGACACACAUAAGCAGAAACAGGUGCAGAGACAUCGUCUUGCAUACAUAGGGGUCAGAACAUGCUUCUGGCACGUUCUGUGAGAAGGGCAUCCGGAAGCUGCUUGUGACCUACUGGUGGUAAGGAAGCGGACCCGGGCUUCAGCUUCCUCACCUGGCAAGUGGGGACCUUCCUGAGGGUCCCCCCACCCCCAUCUCUGAGUCCUCACAUCCUGACUCUGGGCUUUGCCAGUUUCCCUUCAUGUCAAGUUCUUCAUUGCGGGGAGAGUGAAAACAACAUGCCUUUCCUGACUGCGUCAAUUACCAGUGCAGUGCUGUCAUCCAUACUGUUGCAAAUGACAAGAUUUCACUCUUCUGUACGGCUGACUCUUAGCCUGUUGUGCACAGUGGACUGUGCGUCUUAACGCACUUCCUCCGCCUGCUCACCCAGCAAGGCACACUUCUGCUGUGUCCAUCCCUCUGCAACUGUAAAGAAUUCUGCGCUGUGCAGGAGACACGCCAUUGCUGGCUGCUGCUGUGUGAACAACACUCUGAAAUCGGAGGGGAUCAGGGCUGACACAUGAAGAUGAGUAUGGCUGAGUAGUUGCUGGGAACCUCCCACCCCCAUUCUGAUCAGAGAUCAGACCAGGCCUGAAGCCUUUGUCCUAUCUGUUUUGGUGCCUGUGUGGCUCUGCUCUAUUUUCCUCUUUCCGUAUAAAGAAGGCACGGAGGGAGGGAGGGAGAGAGGAGAGAGACACCACAGUGCUGCUUUACUGCCCCUGAGGUUCCCCUGUGCGUGGCAAACUGUUUGCUCUGUUGGACGAGCUCUCUAUCCCCCAGCCCUGCCUCUGUUCCGUUUGUGAAUGAUUAAAUCACUGUUG